UGCCAGCAGCCGCGGUAACACGGGGGGCGCAAGCGUUAUUCGGAAUUAUCGGGCGUAAAGGGCGCGCAGGCGGUCUUGUCCGUCAGGGGUGAAAUCCUACAGCUUAACUGUAGAACUGCCUUUGAUACUGCAAAUCUUGAGUUCGGAAGGGAGAGGCGGAAUUCCAGGUGUAGUGGUGAAAUACGUAGAUAUCUGGAAGAACACCAGAGGCGAAGGCGGUCUCUUGGUCCGAAACUGACGCUGAGGCGCGAAAGCGUGGGGAGCAAACAGGAUUAGAUA
rnacentral:rRNA from 1 species